UACGAGGGGGGCGAGCGUUGUUCGGAAUUAUUGGGCGUAAAGGGUGCGUAGGCGGUUCGUUAAGUCUGUCGUGAAAUCCCCGGGCUCAACCUGGGAAUGGCGAUGGAUACUGGCGAGCUAGAGUGUGUCAGAGGAUGGUGGAAUUCCCGGCGUAGCGGUGAAAUGCGUAGAGAUCGGGAGGAACAUCAGUGGCGAAGGCGGCCAUCUGGGACAACACUGACGCUGAAGCACGAAAGCGUGGGGAGCAAACAGG
rnacentral:rRNA from 1 species